AUUCCCUUUGACAGCAUAUAUAAUAAAAUUGAAAUGACACAGAGAAGAUUAGCAUGCCUCCUGCACAAGGAUGACAUGCAAAUUCCUGAAAUGUUACAUAUUUUU